rnacentral:antisense_RNA from 1 species
AACUGACAUAAGCUGGCACUCUGCUGUAUAUCUUGGCACCAUAUUGCUUUCAUCUCUGGAGUCGGGUGUCUUACAAAUUUAACAGUGUAAGUUGGGACUGUCCAAAGAUAUUUACAGUAAUGCUGAGGUCAAGCAAUAGCAGUGGAACUGUAGAGGAUGUGGGGGCUGGGCCAAAGCUGUGGGACUCCGGAUUUAUUCUGUGAGUUGGAGAAUUGUCUAGUUAUCAGAUCAACAGAGGAGCAAACCUCUAACAGCAUCUCCGUGCUUCCUCCCACCCUCUCAACAGGAGGCAUUGGAGAAGGUUUAUCUAAUGACUGACAUCUGACGCAUAAGGUGCAGGCACACUUACUCAGGGUGCGAAUAUUUACUGAGUGUCUCCGUGGGGCCAUACACUAUUCUAGGCGCUGUACAUACACCAGUAAAGAGAAGCUGUCCUCAUCUGUCUUACUUUCUGGUCUUAAAUAUAAAGCCAAGAGGCAUUUAGCAGCACAAAUCCUCUUCAGCAGUCAACACUCCCAAAGUUUCAGGCACUGAGGAAAAUAAAAACAAAACUGUGGCCCUUUCCCAAGAAGCGCACAGUGUCCACAAGGAUGUGAAAGCCAUCUGGAAACUGAUAAACUGCAAAAAGCUCAGCCAUCUUCUGUUGGCAAAAUAAAAGAAUGAUGUCCUUGGAAGAAUGAUGUCCUUGGAAAGUCAUCAAAUAAAAA